GACGUAGGGGGCGAGCGUUGUCCGGAGUUACUGGGCGUAAAGGGCACGCAGGCGGUCUGCCACGUUUGCCAUGACAGGGUCGGGCUUCACCCGAUCAGGGGGGCAAAAACGAGCGGACUUGAGACUCAGAGAGGGACCUGGAAUUCCGGGUGGAGUGGUGAAAUGCGUAGAUAUCCGGAGGAAGACCGAAGGCGAAGGCAGGGUCCUGGCUGAGGGCUGACGCUGAGGUGCGAAAGCCAGGGGAG
rnacentral:rRNA from 1 species